rnacentral:rRNA from 1 species
UUUAGAAUCAGACCGCCCGUACCGCAAACCGACACAGGUAGUCGGGUCGGGAAGACCAAGGUGAGCGAGAGAACUCUCGUUAAGGAACUCGGCAAAAUGACCCCGUAACUUCGGGAGAAGGGGUGCUGAUCGCAAGGUCAGCCGCAGUGAAUAGGCCCAGGCGACUGUUUAUCAAAAACACAGGUUUCUGCAAAAUCGUAAGAUGAAGUAUAGGGGCUGACGCCUGCCCGGUGCUGGAAGGUUAAGAGGAUGGGUUAGCGUAAGCGAAGCUCAGAAUUGAAGCCCCAGUAAACGGCGGCCGUAACAAUAACGGUCCUAAGGUAGCGAAAUUCCUUGUCGGGUAAGUUCCGACCCGCACGAAAGGCGUAACGAUCUGGGCACUGUCUCAACGAGAGACUCGGUGAAAUUAUAAUACCCGUGGAGAUGCGGGUUACCCGCGACAGGACGGAAAGACCCCAUGGAGCUUUACUGUAGCUUGAUAUUGGGUGUUUGUACAACUUGUACAGGAUAGGUAGGAGCCGUAGAAGUCGGGACGCUAGUUUCGACGGAGGCAUCGGUGGGAUACUACCCUCGUUGUAUGAACACUCUAACCCACGCCGGCAAUCACGGCGGGAGACAGUGUCAGGUGGGCAGUUUGACUGGGGCGGUCGCCUCCUAAAAGGUAACGGAGGCGCCCAAAGGUUCCCUCAGAAUGGUUGGGAAUCAUUCGCAGAGUGUAAAGGCAUAAGGGAGCUUGACUGCGAGACCUACAAGUCGAGCAGGGACGAAAGUCGGGCUUAGUGAUCCGGUGGUUCCGCAUGGAAGGGCCAUCGCUCAACGGAUAAAAGCUACCCUGGGGAUAACAGGCUUAUCUCCCCCAAGAGUCCACAUCGACGGGGAGGUUUGGCACCUCGAUGUCGGCUCAUCGCAUCCUGGGGCUGUAGUCGGUCCCAAGGGUUGGGCUGUUCGCCCAUUAAAGCGGUACGCGAGCUGGGUUCAGAACGUCGUGAGACAGUUCGGUCCCUAUCCGUCGCGGGCGCAGGAAAUUUGAGAGGAUCUGUCCUUAGUACGAGAGGACCGGGAUGGACAUACCGCUGGUGUACCAGUUGUUCUGCCAAGGGCACCGCUGGGUAGCUAUGUAUGGAUGAGAUAAACGCUGAAAGCAUCUAAGUGCGAAACUCACCUCGAGAUAAGAUUUCCCACUCCUUUAUGGAGUUAAGACCCCUGAGAGAUGAUCAGGUAGAUAGGAUGGAAGUGGAAGUGCGGCGACGCAUGGAGCGGACCAUUACUAAUCGGUCGAGGACUUAAC